rnacentral:rRNA from 1 species
GAUGAACGCUGGCGGCGUGCCUAAUACAUGCCAGUCGAGCGAACGGACGAGAAGCUUGCUUCUCUGAUGUUAGCGGCGGACGGGUGAGUAACACGUGGAUAACCUACCUAUAAGACUGGGAUAACUUCGGGAAACCGGAGCUAAUACCGGAUAAUGUUUUGAACCGCAUGGUUCAAAAGUGAAAGACGGUCUUGCUGUCACUUAUAGCUGGAUCCGCGCUGCAUUAGCUAGUUGGUAAGGUAACGGCUUACCAAGGCAACGAUGCAUAGCCGACCUGAGAGGGUGAUCGGCCACACUGGAACUGAGACACGGUCCAGACUCCUACGGGAGGCAGCAGUAGGGAAUCUUCCGCAAUGGGCGAAAGCCUGACGGAGCAACGCCGCGUGAGUGAUGAAGGUCUUCGGAUCGUAAAACUCUGUUAUUAGGGAAGAACAUAUGUGUAAGUAACUGUGCACAUCUUGACGGUACCUAAUCAGAAAGCCACGGCUAACUACGUG